CCUGACUCCAAUGCUCCCACUAUAAUCUUCCCUUUUUGGAUUUGUGGGGCGAUCCUUGAUCUGUUCUCUCUUCUCUGUAAUUGAUUCCUUCAAUCUCAAAUUCACCUCUACUAACCAUUGCUGCGACGGAACCACAACCGGAAGCAGAGGCGAGGGAGGAGGAAACGAGCAGCUAUUGCGGGAGAAGGGGACGGUUAACAGCGGAAAGGAGCCACUUUUGCAAUGGCGAGUUGGGUUCUUUUCCAGGGUUGUGGAGUCAGGCUCCUCCCCGCCGCCUUGCCUCGCCCCAGAUCCGGCAUCCCGCCUGCCGCUAAACUCAAGCCUCUGCGGAGGACCCGUCUUCCCUCUUCCACCUCUUGUCUCUGUUGCUCUGUCGGUCUCGCCGGCCGCAGGGCCUGGGCGCUCAGGGUGAGCGCGCCGUUGCAGGUGGCGCCCUUGGAGGAGGGUUCCGCGAUGGGGAGUGGCGUGAAGGAGGAAGCGUUCGACCCUGGAACGCCACCGCCGUUCGGGUUGGCGGAGAUCCGAGAGGCCAUACCCAGGCAUUGCUGGGUCAAGGACCCGUGGCGAUCGAUGAGCUACGUGGUGCGCGACGUGGUGGUCGUCUUUGGGCUCGCGGUGGCGGCAGCAUAUCUCAAUAACUGGAUAAUGUGGCCGCUCUAUUGGAUAGCUCAGGGGACCAUGUUCUGGGCCCUCUUCGUUCUCGGGCAUGAUUGUGGCCAUGGGAGCUUUUCGAACGACCGAAAGCUUAACAGCGUGGUUGGGCAUUUGCUCCAUUCCUCCAUUCUCGUGCCAUACCAUGGAUGGAGAAUUAGCCACAGGACGCAUCACCAGAACCACGGGCAUGUCGAAAACGAUGAGUCAUGGCAUCCGUUGUCUGAGAAGUUAUAUAGGAGUUUGAAUGCUGUAACUCGAAAGCUUCGCUUCACAUUGCCAUUCCCUAUGUUUGCUUACCCCUUCUACCUGUGGAGAAGGAGUCCAGGGAAAUCUGGCUCACAUUUUCAUCCUAGCAGUGAUUUAUUUGUCCCUAAUGAGAAGAAGGAUGUGAUUACAUCAACGGUCUGCUGCGCAACGAUGGUGGUGAUACUUGCAGGGUUAACCUAUUUGAUGGGUCCUAUUCAGAUGCUUAAGCUUUAUGGGAUUCCAUAUUGGAUUUUCGUCAUGUGGCUGGAUCUGGUGACAUACUUGCAUCAUCAUGGACAUGAGGAGAAACUUCCUUGGUACCGUGGAAAGGAAUGGAGUUAUCUUCGAGGAGGAUUGACGACACUAGAUCGAGAUUAUGGAUGGCUUAACAAUAUCCACCAUGAUAUUGGGACUCAUGUGAUACAUCACCUCUUCCCGCAGAUACCACAUUACCAUUUAGUGGAGGCGACUGAGGCGGCAAAACCAAUUCUCGGAAAAUACUACAGGGAACCAGUAAAAUCUGGACCUUUGCCAUUUCACCUAUUUGGAGUCCUAAUGAGAAGCUUGGGAUGUGAUCAUUUUGUUAGUGACAUUGGAGACGUCGUCUACUAUCAGACUGAUCCUCGAUUGAAUGGUGCUUCAGAAGCAAAGUGGCACAGACACUGAUGUCAUCCCAAUGAAAUCCAUCAGACUGCUAAUACCAUAAUACAUGGUCGAUGAAACCUGCACAUUCAGCAAAGCUGGAUUUUUGCUCAUGGAUUCCUCUCGAGACGCAUAUUUUCUCUCCUCGGGCGAAAGGAAGAGAGGUCUCUGCCAGUUAAUCAUGCAUGCGAUCCCACAUAACUAAGCAUGCAUUCAUAUCAGUUCAUAUUGCGACAAAGAUGUCAUCAGCACAGCUAACAUUUAAUUUUUAUAGACCAGGAAAUGGAGUGUGAUGGGUUCUAUCACCUCAAAUUGCCUUGAAUGGAGAAUGGUGUACGUUCGAGGGGCUAAAAGGUCUGCACUCUGGAAUUUGUUCUGCAGCAUCAACCCCAGCAAGAGAAAGGAAGAAUAAAGUGGUAUUCUGCUAUCUCUCUCUCUCUAAUAUCACCUCUGCCUUUUUUUUGUUUCGGUGUCUCCAUCGACCUUUACCAACGAAAGUUUGUGGACAUGCACGCAAGGUGUUUGAAUAAAUGCCCAUACCAACAAUAAUAGAGCAUCUAGUGUUGGGUGGUGCCCACUGAGAAGGCCAUUGAGAACAGUGACAAAAGAUGUUGAGCUAGCAAAGCACCAUACAGCGCAAAUCUACUCGGCCAGCACUGAA